AGCGAACGCUGGCGGCAGGCUUAACACAUGCAAGUCGAGCGGGCAUCCUUGUGGUGUCCGCGGCAGACGGGUGAGUAACGCGUGGGAACGUGCCCUUCGGUUCGGAAUAACUCAGGGAAACUUGAGCUAAUACCGGAUACGUGCGAGAGCAGAAAGGUUUAUCUGCCGAAGGAUCGGCCCGCGUCUGAUUAACUAGUUGGUGAGGUUAUGGCUCACCAAGGCGACGAUCAGUAGCUGGUCUGAGAGGAUGAUCAGCCACACUGGGACUGAGACACGGCCCAGACUCCUACGGGAGGCAGCAGUGGGGAAUAUUGGACAAUGGGGGCAACCCUGAUCCAGCCAUGCCGCGUGAGUGAUGACGGCCUUAGGGUUGUAAAGCUCUUUUCUUCGGGACGAUAAUGACGGUACCGGAGGAAUAAGCCCCGGCUAACUUCGUG
rnacentral:rRNA from 1 species